AUGUGCAAAUAGUAGUACAACACGCAUGUACAAUGUUCAUGAAACUUAUCAAAAUGCAUCACAUCUCCUAUUUUAAACAAGCGAAGUAUAAGACUUAUGCGGCUAUAAAUAUUCGGUAACUGCCGAUUGCUGACUGUGUUAUUAAAAGCAAAUGAGAACCGCUACACUUUCUCAGCCAGUGUAUCAGGGUGCCAUCUGUCGGUGACGUCUGGCAACACUGCUGUCCGGAGCUUCUCACUAAAUGAUUUGAAUUCUUCAUAUUUGAUUUCAGUUAGUAGUUAGAAGCCCUAAAGGCAGAUGUUGGAUAAGCAGUUUAUUCGUUUCAGCUGUUUUUGUUCUGCUCUUAUAAACGCAUGUAUCUUCCAAUUCUUUAUGACGAGAAUCAUCAUACUUUGCAAUAUUUGUGGUAAAAUGUUCUACAUAGUCAACCAUUCGAAGCGCUCGGUAUGACAUUUCAGGAUUAGAUCUAUAUGACGUCAAUUUUUGAAUGGUGCGGGCGUUGUUGCCCGCGCUACCAUAUAAAAUGAACGACAAGGUUAAGUUGUAAAUUGGUAAUCAGUAAUUAGUUUACUGAUUGGUGUCGCAGUUAACGAAUUCGUUAGCAACUGUUGUCCCUCUCCUAUUUCGGCGAUUUCUGCUAUUAAUCACCGUACAUGUUACACGGGCAUUCGUCGCAAAUGAGACUUGCCCACAGGCAAAAUUUCAACUAAAGAAUCAGUAUGAAGUAUAUAUUACCUACGUUCUUCCUUUGGCUUUAAUUUAAAUUGUCAGUUUAGUUUACAUUAAUAGUGUUAUGUCGAGAAUCAUAACAGAAAUUACCACACAGUACCAUAGGAGUUCAUGUUUAGAAUAUGGAUUCUAAACACUUUUUUUACGCCUUCACAAGUAUCUGAACCACAAUGUAAGUCAGUCGAUGUAGCGAUAAUUCGAAAUAUCAGUGAAAAGGGAACUGGAAAAGUUGUCACAUCGUCUUUACACAGUCUUCGUCAGAAGUAAGACACAGUUCCCAUUUGGAUUAGUGGAUGCUGCAUGUACCCAGCCACAUCUAGAAGAGAUAAUCGCGAAGAUUCAAAAUGACUCUUGAAGAAUUCCCAGAGCCAUAGUUGAUAAUAAAGUGUGCAAAAUGAGUAUUGGUACAGUGCGUAACUGAAGACAUUAUGUAAUUAGAAAGGGAUGAUAAAUAAAUGUGAACUAUACUGUAA
rnacentral:lncRNA from 1 species